GAAAGGUUUUUAUCAUGAUAACCGUUUUGGCCGUAUCGCCCAGCCCUACUUUCACUCUGGGCCCAUGAAACCAGGCAGAGUCCUGCACCAGGAGGAACCCAGGGCCCACUGAGGAGUUCAUGCUGGUCCCUAACAGCAGUCAGGGUACCGAUUGUUAGCACCAGGUCUGUGGGACCCUCCAGGGAUAGAGGAUUACACCAUCACUGACCCACCACCUAACCGGUCCUGCUGGAUGACGUUGCAGAAGCGUAACGUUCAGCGCGGCGUCCCCAGACUCUUUCACGUCUGUCACACUUGACUUUACUUCUGACGCUGCUUUCAGUUCUUUCCUCCAGUUUAACUACUUUCAGCCUCUGUACAUCAGCUAACAAUCUGCUUUCACAGUUUAUUCAUCACAUCGUGAGACUCUUGGUGCUGCUGACAUUUCCACUGAUUCAGCUUCUCAAACUGAACUUUAACUAAAAUACUUGACACCUGUCAUUUCCAGCGUGAGCGAGCUUCAGGUUCCUCAUUCAUUUUGUCCUGUUUCUUAUGUUCUGUGAAUCUGAAACGGCUCGUCAGUCUGCACAGACACAAACCGAAGAAGAAGCAGCAGCAGCAGCAGCGUCAGACUCACUCUUCAGCACUUUGACCGCCACCUUCUGGACAGACGAGUCUUGCGUCUUCAGGAAGGCCUCGCGCACGGAGCCGAACUCACCUGCACAGAACAAUCUUUACCAAUCUUUCAAAAAGUGUUUGGGACAUGUCCUCCGAGUCCCUGGUGUGAAGGACCGCCUCUCUUAUAUCACGGUAAACAAACUGCGCUCAGUAGAAGAGAAGACGGUCCAGCAGCAGCACAAACUGUCUCUGAAACUGUUUCAACACAAACUGAAGGAGGCAAAGAGAAGGACAGGAGCGCCACCUGCAUCUUAUCUAGGGAUGGGGAUCGUUCAUUUUUACUGAUGGCCUUAUUGAGACUGCUUAACGAUCCGAUUCUUUAUCGAUACUGUAUUAUUUGGUGAGACCAGCCCCAGCAGCCUGAGGCCGGCUGCAGGGUGUGAGGAAAAUAUUCAAUGUGCCAUAACGUUAUAAACUGAGAUGACAUCACUUGUGAUAAAUAAACAUAUACUGAAGUGUGCA